ACGCGAAGAACCUUACCUGGGCUCGAAAUUUUGUCGACAGUCUCAGAGAUGAGAUCUUCCCGCAAGGGACGGCAGAAUAGGUGCUGCAUGGCUGUCGUCAGCUCGUGUCGUGAGAUGUUGGGUUAAGUCCCGCAACGAGCGCAACCCUCACCCUUAGUUGCUCGUCCGCAAGGAAAGCACCCUAAGGGAACUGCCUCGGAUAACGGGGAGGAAGGUGGGGAUGACGUCAAGUCCUCAUGGCCUUUAUGUCCAGGGCUACACACGUGCUACAAUGGCCGGUACAAACCGUCGCUAACCCGCGAGGGGGAGCCAAUCGGAAAAAACCGGUCUCAGUUCGGAUUGCAGGCUGCAACUCGCCUGCAUGAAGCUGGAAUCGCUAGUAAUCACGUAUCAGAAUGACGUGGUGAAUACGUUCCCGGGCCUUGUA
rnacentral:rRNA from 1 species